UGGAAAUUACAUGGUUCGACACCAUGGAUCUCCAGGUGGGUCACGGUUACAGGUACACCAACCUGGAGGACUCCAUGCUGUUGAGCUGUUCACAA
rnacentral:pre_miRNA from 1 species